GGCGUCCUCAGGGCGUCCGAGUUGUAAUCUAUAGAGGCGUUUUCCGUGCCGGACCGUGUCCAAGUUCCUUGGAACAGGAUAUCAAAGAGGGUGACAAUCCCGUACUUGACACGACGACCGGUGCUCUGUGAUACGUCUUCUACGAGUCGAGUUGUUUGGGAAUGCAGCUCAAAAUGGGUGGUGAGUUCCAUCUAAAGCUAAAUAUUGGCGAGAGACCGAUAGCGAACAAGUACCGUGAGGGAAAGAUGAAAAGCACUUUGGAAAGAGAGUUAAACAGUACGUGAAAUUGUUGAAAGGGAAACGAUUGAAGUCAGUCGUGACCGAGAGGCUCAGCCGGUUCUGCCGGUGUAUUCCCCUCGGUCGGGUCAACAUCAGUUUUGUCCGGUGGAUAAGGGCGGUAGGAAGGUGGCACCCUCGGGUGUGUUAUAGCCUGCCGUCGCAUACAUCGGGUGAGACUGAGGAACGCAGCUCGCCUUUAUGGCCGGGGUUCGCCCACGUCCGAGCUUAGGAUGUUGACAUAAUGGCUUUAAACGACCCGUC
rnacentral:rRNA from 1 species